UGGCACUUCCAUCAAGUGAAAAUGAAAGAGAAUACCUUUCUCUAGGCUCACUACUCCCAUACAACUGAACAUACUCUGUAGCUUCAACCCAAGAGCAGAAUCACUUCAGCCAGUGGAGUGCAGUCUUUCACCCUAGAUGUGCACAGCUUGGAAUGACUUAUUUCUGCAGACUGCAAGGAAGAAGGAGGACUUCAUCAAGGGGUGGAGGACCAGGAAGGACUCCAGUGAGGUGUGGUACGAAGAUGUACAUACAUUCCUCACCCAAGCCCUGAAGACUGUUUUCAGCUCUACUGAAAAACCUGAACUCAGGAACCACGGACCUCACCCAGGAACAGAGACAAGAACCCAGCAUUUGAAAGACAAAAG